rnacentral:rRNA from 1 species
GACGAACGCUGGCGGCGUGCUUAACACAUGCAAGUCGAACGGAAAGGCCCUGCUUUUGUGGGGUGCUCGAGUGGCGAACGGGUGAGUAACACGUGAGUAACCUGCCCUUGACUUUGGGAUAACUUCAGGAAACUGGGGCUAAUACCGGAUAGGAGCUCCUGCUGCAUGGUGGGGGUUGGAAAGUUUCGGCGGUUGGGGCUGGACUCGCGGCUUAUCAGCUUGUUGGUGGGGUAGUGGCUUACCAAGGCUUUGACGGGUAGCCGGCCUGAGAGGGUGACCGGCCACAUUGGGACUGAGAUACGGCCCAGACUCCUACGGGAGGCAGCAGUGGGGAAUAUUGCACAAUGGGCGGAAGACUGAUGCAGCAACGCCGCGUGCGGGAUGACGGCCUUCGGGUUGUAAACAGCUUUGGCCUGUGACGAAGCGUGAGUGACGGUAAUGGGUAAAGAAGCACCGGCUAACUACGUG